rnacentral:tRNA from 1 species
UCCCCUCUAGCUCAGAUGGUAAAGACUCUGCCUGUAAUGCAGGAGACCCAGGCUCAAUUCCUGGGUCAGGAA